CGGCUUGUGGUCUAGUGGUAUGACGCUUCCUUAGCAUGGAAGAGGUUUCGGGUUCGAUUCCCGACUAGUCCU
rnacentral:tRNA from 1 species